GAUGAACGCUGGCGGCGUGCCUAAUACAUGCAAGUCGAGCGAACGGACGAGAAGCUUGCUUCUCUGAUGUUAGCGGCGGACGGGUGAGUAACACGUGGAUAACCUACCUAUAAGACUGGGAUAACUUCGGGAAACCGGAGCUAAUACCGGAUAAUAUUUUGAACCGCAUGGUUCAAAAGUGAAAGACGGUCUUGCUGUCACUUAUAGAUGGAUCCGCGCUGCAUUAGCUAGUUGGUAAGGUAACGGCUUACCAAGGCAACUAUGCAUAGCCGACCUGAGAGGGUGAUCGGCCACACUGGAACUGAGACACGGUCCACACUCCUACGGGAGGCAGCAGUAGGGAAUCUUCCGCAAUGGGCGAAAGCCUGACGGAGCAACGCCGCGUGAGUGAUGAAGGUCUUCGGAUCGUAAAACUCUGUUAUUAGGGAAGAACAUAUGUGUAAGUAACUGUGCACAUCUUGACGGUACCUAAUCAGAAAGCCACGGCUAACUACGUG
rnacentral:rRNA from 1 species